rnacentral:rRNA from 1 species
AUUGAACGCUGGCGGCAUGCCUUACACAUGCAAGUCGAACGGCAGCACGGGAGCAAUCCUGGUGGCGAGUGGCGAACGGGUGAGUAAUAUAUCGGAACGUGCCCGGUCGUGGGGAUAACGUAGCGAAAGCUACGCUAAUACCGCAUACGAUCUACGGAUGAAAGCGGGGGAUCGCAAGACCUCGCGCGAUUGGAGCGGCCGAUAUCAGAUUAGGUAGUUGGUGAGGUAAAGGCUCACCAAGCCGACGAUCUGUAGCUGGUCUGAGAGGACGACCAGCCACACUGGGACUGAGACACGGCCCAGACUCCUACGGGAGGCAGCAGUGGGAAUUUUGGACAAUGGGCGCAAGCCUGAUCCAGCAAUGCCGCGUGCAGGAUGAAGGCCUUC